UNGUUAAGGGCCUGCUCAUGAAAUAUUGUAAAUAGCCGCAGAUAAUUUACCUGUGCUAAGGUAGCGUAAUCAUUAGUCUCUUAAUUAGAGACUAGAAUGAAAGGUUUAACAUUUCCUUAACUUUUUAAUCAUAUAAUAAUAAUUUAUAUUAAAUAUAAAAAUAUAUUUAUACAAAAAACAGACGACAAGACCCUUUCAAACUUAACUUUAGUUUAGCUGGGGUAGCUAUAUAACUUACAUCUUAUAAUUUUAUUUCUAUAAAUAGACCCAAACUUAGUUGAUUAAAUGAACAAGUUACUGAAGGGAUAACAGCAUAAUAAGUUUUUAUAGAUCUUAUUCAAAAACUAGUUUAUGACCUCGAUGUUGAAUUAUUUAUCUAUCACACGCAAAAAUGUGAAAAGUGGGUCUGUUCGACCUUUAAAUUUUUACAUGAUCUGAGUUCAAACCGGAGA
rnacentral:rRNA from 1 species